GAUGAAGAACGUAGCGAAAUGCGAUACGUAGUGUGAAUUGCAGAAUUCAGUGAAUCAUCGAAUCUUUGAACGCACAUUGCGCCCUUUGGUAUUCCAAAGGGCAUGCCUGUUCGAGCGUCAUUUGUACCUUCAAGCUUUGCUUGGUGUUGGGCGUUUUUGUCUCCCUCUUUCUGGGAGACUCGCCUUAAAACGAUUGGCAGCCGGCCUACUGGUUUCGGAGCGCAGCACAUAAUUUGCGCUUUGUAUCAGGAGAAAAGGACGGUAAUCCAUCAAGACUCUACAUUUUUAACUUUUGACCUCGGAUCAGGUAGGGAUACCCGCUGAACUUAAGCAUAUCAAUAAGCGGAGGA
rnacentral:misc_RNA from 1 species